rnacentral:lncRNA from 1 species
GUUGCCAUUAAAGAGAAGAUUUGCAUCACAUUAUUAAAAUAACGUUGCUGAGAAUUAUGUGACCUCUAUUCAUGCCUCAUGGCCAUAAAUGAUUUAUGUGCAGGAAUGUUGGCUGGAGCAGGAGCUAAGUGUGGUGAUGGCACCAAAUAUGAAGGGCACGGGAAUGGCUCAGCCUCUGGUGAGAGAUUCACCACCCCAGAGCAACAGCUGGACCUUGCAGAGACCUUCCCUCAGUGCCAGGGAGGGCAGCUCUGCAGCUGGGGCAGUGGCACAGCCGUGUCUGUCUGUCUGUCUGCAUGUUAGCCAAGUCAGAGCUGGUUCCUUCCCCUGUGCACUCACCUGGUGUGACAGCACUGGUAGCAAAACACAUUUCAAGGCACUUCUGAAUGGGGACACCAACCAGAGCAUCCUUAGUACAGGAGCAUCAUUAGAGCUGAUGACAACCAUCCCUCCAUUUCCCUCAGCAGUGGGCUAAUUGUCUAAAUGUUCUUUCUGCUGAAGAAGAACACUGGCAGAUUAAUUCAGGCCCCAAGAACAGGUUUGUAAAUAAAUGGUUAGGUUAAAAAAAAAUAUUAAUUUGA